AUGCUCAAAAUUCUCCAAGCCAGGCUUCAACAAUAUGUGAACCGUGAACUUCCUGAUGUUCAAGCUGGUUUUAGAAAAGGCAGAGGAACCAGAGAUCAAAUUGCCAGCAUCUGCUGGAUCAUCGAAAAAGCAAGAGAGUUCCAGAAAAACAUCUAUUUCUGCUUUCUUGACUAUGCCAAAGCCUUUGACUGUGUGGAUCACAAUAAACUGUGGAAAAUUCUGAAAGAGAUGGGAAUACCAGACCACCUGACCUGCCUCUUCAGAAAUCUGUAUGCAGGUCAGGAAGCAACAGUUAGAACUGGACAUGGAACAACAGACUGGUUCCAAAUAGGAAAAGGAGUGUGUCAAGGCUGUAUAUUGUCACCUUGCUUAUUUAACUUCUAUGCAGAGUACAUCAUGAGAAACACUGGACUGGAAGAAACACAAGCUGGAAUCAAGAUUGCUGGGAGAAAUAUCAAUAACCUCAGAUAUGCAGAUGACACCACCCUUAUGGCAGAAAGUGAAGAGGAGCUAAAAAGCCUCUUGAUGAAAGUGAAAGAGGAGAGUGAAAAAGUUGGCCUAAAGCUCAACAUUCAGAAAAUGAAGAUCAUGGCAUCUGGUCCUAUCACUUCAUGGGAAAUAGAUGGGGAAACAGUGGAAACAGUGUCAGACUUUAUUUUUUGGGGCUCCAGAAUCACUGCAGAUGGUGACUGCAGCCAUGAAAUUAAAAGACGCUUACUCCUUGGAAGGAAAGUUAUGACCAACCUAGAUAGCAUAUUCAAAAGCAGAGACAUUACUUUGCCGACUAAGGUCCAUCUAGUCAAGGCUAUGGUUUUCCCAGUGGUCAUGUGUGGAUGUGAGAGUUGGACUGUGAAGAAGGCUGAGCGCCGAAGAAUUGAUGCUUUGGAACUGUGGUGUUGGAGAAGACUCUUGAGAGUCCCUUGGACUGCAAGGAGAUCCAACCAGUCCAUUCUGAAGGAGAUCAGCCCUGGGAUUUCUUUGGAAGAAAUGAUGCUAAAGCUGAAACUGCAGUACUUUGGCCGCCUCAUGCGAAGAGUUGACUCAUUGGAGAAGACUCUGAUGGUGGGAGGGAUUGGGGGCAGGAGGAGAAGGGGACGACAGAGGAUGAGAUGGCUGGAUGGCAUCACGGACUCGAUGGACGUGAGUCUGAGUGAACUCCGGGAGAUGGUGAAGGACAGGGAGGACUGCUGUGUUGUGAUUCAUGGGGUCACAAAGAGUCGGACACGACUGAGUGACUGGACUGAACUGAAGAGGCUCUUUAGGUCCUCUUUCUUUCUGCCAUUAGAGUGGUAUCUUCUACAUAUCUGA
rnacentral:lncRNA from 1 species